UCCUACGGGAGGCAGCAGUGGGGAAUAUUGCACAAUGGGGGAAACCCUGAUGCAGCCAUGCCGCGUGUGUGAAGAAGGCCUUCGGGUUGUAAAGCACUUUCAGUAGGGAGGAAGGUAGUGUAGUUAACACCUGCACUAUUUGACGUUACCUACAGAAGAAGCACCGGCUAACUCCGUGCCAGCAGCCGCGGUAAUACGGAGGGUGCGAGCGUUAAUCGGAAUUACUGGGCGUAAAGCGCAUGCAGGUGGUUUGUUAAGUCAGAUGUGAAAGCCCGGGGCUCAACCUCGGAAUAGCAUUUGAAACUGGCAGACUAGAGUACUGUAGAGGGGGGUAGAAUUUCAGGUGUAGCGGUGAAAUGCGUAGAGAUCUGAAGGAAUACCAGUGGCGAAGGCGGCCCCCUGGACAAAGACUGACGCUCAGAUGCGAAAGCGUGGGGAGCAAACAGGAUUAGAUACCCUGGUAGUCCACGCCGUAAACGAUGUCUACUUGGAGGUUGUGGCCUUGAGCCGUGGCUUUCGGAGCUAACGCGUUAAGUAGACCGCCUGGGGAGUACGGUCGCAAGAUUAAAACUCAAAUGAAUUGACGGA
rnacentral:rRNA from 1 species